UACGGAGGAUGCAAGCGUUAUCCGGAAUGAUUGGGCGUAAAGCGUCCGCAGGUGGCUGUGUAAGUCUGCUGUUAAAUAGUGAGGCUCAACCUCAUAAAGGCAGUGGAAACUACAUAGCUAGAGUACGUUCGGGGCAGAGGGAAUUCCUGGUGUAGCGGUGAAAUGCGUAGAGAUCAGGAAGAACACCAGUGGCGAAGGCGCUCUGCUAGGCCGUAACUGACACUGAGGGACGAAAGCUAGGGGAGCGAAUGGG
rnacentral:rRNA from 1 species